GGAUAGCUCAGUUGGUAGAGCAUGUGGUUCUUAAUCUCAGGGUCAUGGGUUGAAGCCCCACAAAGGAAAAACA